UACGUAGGGGGCGAGCGUUGUCCGGAUUUAUUUGGCGUAAAGAGCUCGUAGGCGGCUUGGCAAGUCGGGUGUGAAACCUCCAGGCUCAACCUGGAGACGCCACUCGAUACUGCUAUGGCUAGAGUCCGGUAGGGGACCACGGAAUUCCUGGUGUAGCGGUGAAAUGCGUAGAUAUCGGGAGGAACAUCGAUGGCGAAGGCAAUCACCUGGGCCUGAACUGACACUGAGACACGAAAGCGUGGGUAGCAAACAGG
rnacentral:rRNA from 1 species